CAAACCAAAGCUGGCGACCGGCGCACGGGUGAGUAACACGUAUCCAACCUGCCUCAUACUCGGGGAUAGCCUUUCGAAAGAAAGAUUAAUAUCCGAUAGCAUAUAUUUCCCGCAUGGGUUUUAUAUUAAAGAAAUUCGGUAUGAGAUGGGGAUGCGUUCCAUUAGUUUGUUGGGGGGGUAACGGCCCACCAAGACUACGAUGGAUAAGGGUUCUGAGAGGAAGGUCCCCCACAUUGGAACUGAGACACGGUCCAA
rnacentral:rRNA from 1 species